ACCAGACUCCUACGGGAGGCAGCAGUGGGGGAUAUUGCACAAUGGGGGGAACCCUGAUGCAGCGACGCCGCGUGGGUGAAGAAGCGCCUCGGCGCGUAAAGCCCUGUCAGCAGGGAAGAAAAUGACGGUACCUGAAGAAGAAGCCCCGGCUAACUACGUGCCAGCAGCCGCGGUAAUACGUAGGGGGCAAGCGUUAUCCGGAUUUACUGGGUGUAAAGGGGGCGCAGACGGCGAUGCAAGCCAGGAGUGAAAGCCCGGGGCCCAACCCCGGGACUGCUCUUGGAACUGCGUGGCUGGAGUGCAGGAGGGGCAGGCGGAAUUCCUGGUGUAGCGGUGAAAUGCGUAGAUAUCAGGAGGAACACCGGUGGCGAAGGCGGCCUGCUGGACUGCAACUGACGUUGAGGCUCGAAAGCGUGGGGAGCAAACAGGAUUAGAUACCCCUGUACA
rnacentral:rRNA from 1 species